UCCCUGGUGGCCCCGUGGUUAAGGCUCUGCACUUCCAGUGCAGGGGGCGCGGGUUCAAGCCCUGGUCAGGGAG
rnacentral:tRNA from 1 species